rnacentral:rRNA from 1 species
CAGCAGCCGCGGUAAAACGGAGGGUGCAAGCGUUAAUCGGAAUUACUGGGCGUAAAGCGCACGCAGGCGGUCUGACAAGUGAGAUGUGAAAUCCCCGGGCUUAACCUGGGAACUGCAUUUGAAACUGUCAGGCUGGAGUCUUGUAGAGGGGGGUGGAAUUCCAGGUGUAGCGGUGAAAUGCGUAGAGAUCUGGAGGAAUACCGGUGGCGAAGGCGGCCCCCUGGACAAAGACUGACGCUCAGGUGCGAAAGCGUGGGGAGCAAACAGGAUUAGAUACCCGGGUAGUCCCUGUCUCUUAUAC